UACAGAGGUCUCAAGCGUUGUUCGGAUUCAUUGGGCGUAAAGGGCUCGUAGGUGGCCAACUAAGUCGGACGUGAAAUCCCUCGGCUUAACCGGGGAACUGCGUCUGAUACUGGAUGGCUUGAGUUCGGGAGAGGGAUGCGGAAUUCCAGGUGUAGCGGUGAAAUGCGUAGAUAUCUGGAGGAACACCGGUGGCGAAGGCGGCAUCCUGGACCGACACUGACGCUGAGGAGCGAAAGCCAGGGGAGCAAACGGG
rnacentral:rRNA from 1 species